rnacentral:rRNA from 1 species
UACGGGGGAGCAAGCGUUGUUCGGAUUUACUGGGCGUAAAGGGCGCGUAGGCGGUCGUGACAAGUCACUUGUGAAAUCUCCGGGCUUAACUCGGAACGGUCAAGUGAUACUGUCGGACUAGAGUACAGAAGGGGCAACUGGAAUUCUCGGUGUAGCGGUGAAAUGCGUAGAUAUCUGCAGGAACACCCGUGGCGAAAGCGGCGCGCUGGACCACUACUGACGCUGAGGAACGAAAGCUAGGGGAGCAAACAGG